UACGAAGGGGGCUAGCGUUGCCCGGAAUCACUGGGCGUAAAGCGCACGUAGGCGGACUCUUAAGUCGGUGGUGAAAUCCUGGAGCUCAACUCCAGAACUGCCUCCGAUACUGGGAGUCUCCGAGUCCGGGAGAGGUGAGUGGAACUGCGAGUGUAGAGGUGAAAUUCGUAGAUAUUCGCAAGAACACCAGUGGCGAAGGCGGCUCACUGGCCCGGUACUGACGCUGAGGUGCGAAAGCGUGGGGAGCAAACAGG
rnacentral:rRNA from 1 species